rnacentral:rRNA from 1 species
CGGGGGGCAGCAGUGGGGAAUAUUGGACAAUGGGGGAAACCCUGAUCCAGCAAUGCCGCGUGAAUGAAGAAGGCCUUAGGGUUGUAAAAUUCUUUUGUUCGUGAAGAUAAUGACGGUAGCGGACGAAUAAGCCCUGGCUAACUCUGUGCCAGCAGCCGCGGUAAUACAGAGAGGGCAAGCGUUGUCCGGAAUGACUGGGCGUAAAGCGCGCGCAGGCGGUUUUUUAAGUUGGAUGUGAAAUCCCCGGGCUCAACCUGGGAACUGCAUUCGAUACUGGAAAACUAGAGGCCGAGAGAGGAAAGCGGAAUGACGAGUGUAGAGGUGAAAUUCGUAGAUAUUCGUCGGAACACCAGAGGCGAAGGCGGCUUUCUGGCUCGGACCUGACGCUCAGGCGCGAAAGCGUGGGGAGCAAACAGGAUUAGAUACCCCAGU